GAUGAACGCUGGCGGCGUGCCUAAUACAUGCCAGUCGAGCGAACAGACGAGGAGCUUGCUCCUCUGACGUUAGCGGCGGACGGGUGAGUAACACGUGGAUAACCUACCUAUAAGACUGGGAUAACUUCGGGAAACCGGAGCUAAUACCGGAUAAUAUAUUGAACCGCAUGGUUCAAUAGUGAAAGACGGUUUUGCUGUCACUUAUAGAUGGAUCCGCGCCGCAUUAGCUAGUUGGUAAGGUAACGGCUUACCAAGGCAACGAUGCGUAGCCGACCUGAGAGGGUGAUCGGCCACACUGGAACUGAGACACGGUCCCGACCCCUAAGGGAGGGAGCAGUAGGGAAUCGUCCGCAAUGGGCGAAAGCCUGGCGGAGCAACGCCGCGUGAGUGAUGAAGGUCUUCGGAUCGUAAAACUCUGUUAUUAGGGAAGAACAAAUGUGUAAGUAACUAUGCACGUCUUGACGGUACCUAAUCAGAAAGCCACGGCUAACUACGUG
rnacentral:rRNA from 1 species